rnacentral:siRNA from 1 species
GGCAUCUUGGAAGGUGGUA